rnacentral:misc_RNA from 1 species
UCCGAGUUGACCCCGGCAGUCUCCCAUGAGUCCCCAGCCACCCGAAGGUGCUGCUGGCAACAUGGAACGAGGGUUGCGCUCGUUGCGGGACUUAACCCAACAUCUCACGACACGAGCUGACGACAGCCAUGCACCACCUGUAUACCGACAAAAGGGGCCCCAUCUCUGAGGCUUUCCGGCAUAUGUCAAACCCAGGUAAGGUGGGGAUGACGUCGUAUCUCACUG